GGCGGCGUGCCUAACACAUGCAAGUCGAACGAGAAAGUUGGGCUUCGGCCGAUGAGUAAAGUGGCGCACGGGUGAGUAACGCGUGGAUAAUCUGCCCUUUAGUUUGGAAUAACGUACCGAAAGGUGCGCUAAUACCGGAUAAUACUGAAUGACUACUGUCGUUUAGUCAAAGAAGGCUUCUGUUUACAUGCUUUUGCUGAAGGAUGAGUCCGCGUACCAUUAGCUAGUUGGUAGGGUAAUGGCCUACCAAGGCGACGAUGGUUAGCUGGUCUGAGAGGAUGAUCAGCCACACUGGAACUGAGACACGGUCCAGACUCCUACGGGAGGCAGCAGUGAGGAAUAUUGCGCAAUGGGGGCAACCCUGACGCAGCAACGCCGCGUGAGUGAGGAAGGUUUUCGGACCGUAAAGCUCUGUCGAGCGGGAAGAAAUGCAUGGUGGCUAAUAUCCAUCAUGCUUGACGGUACCGCUAAAGGAAGCACCGGCUAACUCCGUG
rnacentral:rRNA from 1 species